rnacentral:rRNA from 1 species
UGGGGAAUAUCGCGCAAUGGGGGAAAGCCUGAACUAGCAACGCCGCGUGUGCGAAGAAGGCCUUCGGGUUGUAAAGCACUUUUUGAGAGGAUGAGGAAGGACGGUACUCUCAGAAUAAGUCUCGGCUAACUACGUGCCAGCAGCCGCGGUAACACGUAGGAGGCGAACGUUAUCCGGAUUUACUGGGCGUAAAGCGCGUGUAGGUGGUUUGGUAAGUAGGGCGUGAAAGCUCCUGGCUCAACUGGGAGAGGCCGUUCUAAACUGCCGAACUAGAGGAUGGUUGAGGGAGGUGGAAUUCCGGGUGUAGCGGUGGAAUGCGCAGAUAUCCGGAGGAACACCAGUGGCGAAAGCGGCCUCCUGGACCAUUCCUGACACUCAGACGCGAAAGCUAGGGUAGCAAACGG